ensembl:lncRNA
UGGUGGCUAGCUAGCUACUCUGCAGCAGCAGCUGCAGGUUUUGUUUGUGAUGUAAGGCUAACUUUAUCUACUCUAUAACCGUCCAGAUGGAGCUGCUGGAGAAGGGACAUCUGAUCUCCCAUCAGCACCUCUCCUCUCUCCGGAGCUUCCUGCAGGUCUAGAGACAUCCAUCCCUCCAGCUCCCUCCAGUGAAACACAGCCUGCAGGUCUAGAGACAUCCAUCCCUCCAGCUCCCUCCAGUGAAACACAGCCUGCAGGUCUAGAGACAUCCAUCCCUCCAGCUCCCUCCAGUGAAACACAGCCUGCAGGUCUAGAGACAUCCAUCCCUCCAGCUCCCUCCAGUGAAACACAGCCUGCAGGUCUAGAGACAUCCAUCCCUCCAGCUCCCUCCAGUGAAACACAGCCUGCAGGUCUAGAGACAUCCAUCCCUCCAGCUCCCUCCAGUGAAACACAGCCUGCUGAAGAAACUACACCACUAAUGUCCAGUGAAUCUCCUGCACCAACCGGGGACCAACAAGAACACACUUCAAGAACAAGUACCCCUGAUGUAACUAUGGAUGGUCAUGAUGAUGACCAGAGUCUGGAUGCCCUCGCCUACCGGUCUGGUACUGGACAGCUAGACAUUGAGAUGGGUCCAGUCCAAACGCUGCCCAAAGAUCGUAACAGGAUUCUUUAAUAUCGCUAUUAGACCCAUGUUUCCUAUCGACCCUGAUUCACUAUUGAAGGGGAAUGACAUAACAGGAGACAAAGUAACGCAGUUCGAGAAAUUCUGGAUCAACAUGAAAGUGAAUCUGAUGGUUCAAACUCAGAAACUAGAGGAGGAAAUACACCAGUCUGAUUCCUUCCUGAUGCCAGCUUUGAAAGGAGAAGAGGCGUGGUGUGUUUAACAUCAUGAUUUGAUCAAUCCUCACAUUAUUCUUCUAUAUGUGGCUCACAGAGCAAAGACAAGCGAGGUGUUAAUAAAUAGUGUGAGGUGUGCUCUGUGAGGCGUCCUGGGAUAUGAUGGGUAACGUUGGCUUGGGUCCAAGCUCCACCUCUCUUGGGCGACCGCCGAGGAUGAUGUACAGGGAAUGAUGAUAUGGAGAUGGAGAUGUUGGAUGUUUCUGAACUUCAAGAAAAGUCUGUAGCUGCGUGGCAAUGAUGAUAUGGCAGCCAAAGGAUAGCGUGUGUGGCCCAUGUAUUUAGAAUAUACAAAGCAUGAUAAAACAAAAAAACGUAUUUGGCCAUGAUUGAAUAACAAGACUUGCACUGACACACAGAAGAAAUAUCUGCCAAAAACCAUCAGAUGGUUGAAGGUCAUACAAACUGGACCACCAUGUUCUUACAAAUCCUGUUCCUAAUAUGUUCAGUUUGUAAUACUCAUGGCGUUGCUAGUACUGCAUCACCAUCGUGUACCAGUGAUGAAUACAGAGCGGGACAGUUCUGCUGCCUUGCAUGGCCUGUACCUAUACCAGAGCAGUUGUGUUGU